rfam:Oryza sativa Indica Group cultivar 93-11 Ctg044200, whole genome shotgun sequence.
GCCGUGGUAGCAUAAUGGUCAGUGCAUUCGCCCGGAUUGCGAAGGGUGCGGGUUCGAGUCCCGUCCGCUGCC